GAUGAACGCUGGCGGCGUGCCUAAUACAUGCAAGUCGAGCGAACGGACGCGACGCUUGCUUCUCUGAUGUUAGCGGCGGGCGGGUGAGUAACACGUGUAUCACCUACCUAUAAUACUGGUAUAACUUCGGGACACCGGCUCUAAUACCGUAUAAUCUUUUGAACCGCAUGGUUCAAAAGUGAAAGACGGUCUUGCUGUCACUUAUAGCUGGAUCCGCGCUGCAUUAGCUAGUUGGUAAGGUAACGGCUUACCAAGGCAACGAUGCAUAGCCGACCUGAGAGGGUGAUCGGCCACCCGGGAACUGAGACACGGUCCAUACUCCUAAGAGAGGCAGCAGUAGGGAAUCUUCCGCAGUGGGCGAAAGCCUGACGGAGCAACGCCGCGUGAGUGAUGAAGGUCUUCGGAUCGUAAAACUCUGUUAUUAGGGAAGAACAUAUGUGUAAGUAACUGUGCACAUAUUGACGGUACCUAAUCAGAAAGCCACGGCUAACUACGUG
rnacentral:rRNA from 1 species